UACGAGGGGGGCGAGCGUUGUUCGGAAUUAUUGGGCGUAAAGGGUGCGUAGGCGGUUCCGCAAGUCCUGUGUGAAAUCUUCGGGCUCAACUCGAAGUCUGCACGGGAAACUGCGGGGCUUGAGUGUGGGAGAGGUGAGUGGAAUUCCCGGUGUAGCGGUGAAAUGCGCAGAUACCGGGAGGAACACCGGUGGCGAAGGCGGUUCUCUGGGCCUUACCUGACGCUGAGGAGCGAAAGCGUGGGGAGCGAACAGG
rnacentral:rRNA from 1 species